UUGGCUACGCGAGCGCAUGAGUUGUGUUGGACCUGUGAUUGCUGAGAGGACCCCUGCCAUUGUGCGGCUGACUCUCUGCACCUGUGUCUCUUCAAAUGUGGGCUACCUAGCCCUCUACUUGCCCGACGAGUGCUUGCAUGAUGCUACCAGCUUGAUGGAAGUUGCAUUAAAAAAUGGUGGCUUUGUUGUGCUAGCCUUUGGGCAUAGCACAAUGACUUUAUAGUGUCCACGGUGUUGCCUCAUGUAGCCAGCCUUUCGAGCCGGCUACAUCAAGGCCGCCUCGUGUACCAUAUUGGUUCCGGAUGUGGCUGACGAUAAAGGCUGAAGGCGCUCUUGUGUUGCAUGCCUAGCAAAAAAUGGACCGAUUGGAAACAACGACAGCUAGCUCGGCCAAUGCCUCGUGCAGAAUCCGGUGCUGCUUUGUCGAUGAGGACGUGCUACCUGGUUGAUCCUGCCAGUAGUCAUAUGCUUGUCU
rnacentral:misc_RNA from 1 species